rnacentral:lncRNA from 1 species
AAGGAGAUCAGAUCGAAUGGAGCUCCAGUUGAGGUGGUCGAUGGUGAUCACUAAGAACCCUCAUGCCAAAGGCAGCGUCUCCUCCCAGUGAAACAAUAAAAGUGAAAAAUGAAGGGGGACUAGCUAUUUAUAGGAGCUCAAACACCUUCGGUCAAGUGACAAUUAAUUUAGCCAUCAUGGAUGGCUGCCAAGUGGUAGCUUGAGAAUGGAGCACAUGAUCUCCCAUGGAUCACCAGCAUCAACGACCCAGAUCAGCAGAAGCAGCGACUUGGACGGGCAGGACCAUGACAUGUGGCACCCACUCUUCACUUUGCCAUUUCACCCAUCGAGGUGCAUUUAUUAUGGUCACCCCAUCUCCGAACAUGGCUCGACCUCCGUCAAGAUCUAAUUCUUUUUGCUCAAUCUCAAUUUCAGCUCAGACUCAAGAGUCGAGGACAAGUGCUGGGGAUGUCACCCAACCUUGGUUAGAGCCGAAGCUCCUUUGAGCUCGGUUAACAUCGAGGACAUGUGGUCUGACCUUGCUGACUUAGCCUCCUCAAUCGAGGUCGAGGAGGAGGCUGCUCGAUUGAGGAGGAGGCUGCCCAAUUAGGCAAGCCUCCUAAUUUAGAAGGAGAUCAAUGUUCUAGACACAGUGCACCAAAUGAGAUAACCAUAACCACGUAGGAGC